ensembl:snRNA U1 U1 spliceosomal RNA
ACAAUGGCAGGGGAGAUACCGUGACCAAGUAGGCCGUUCACACAUGGCGAGGAUCAUGGCUAUGCUGACCCCUGCGAAUUCCCCAAAUGUGGGAAUCUCGACUGCUUCAUUUCUGGUAGAGGGGGACUGCAUUCACUUU